AAGCCUUUUGGUUAAAAUUUUUUAAUAUUAUAUACUGCUUAUUUCUGGCAUGUAUUAGAUUCAGUUUUAGUAAGCCAUGUAUCUAAGUUGGUCUAAAAUAAUUGGUGAUGGUCUAAGAUGUUUCUGAACUUGGAUACCAUGUGCAUAUCACUGGUGAUGGUUUUGAUGACUUUAUUUGGAUAGAAUCUCUUGUAUUCCUUUGCGUUUGGAUAUGGAUCGUGCAUAAAAAAUGGUUUGACAAUUUUAUUUCAAGGUGGUCGUUAUUUUAUUUUUGUUUUUCUAGUUUUGCUACUGCUGUUACCCCUCUCUCUCUCUCUCAUGUGGGCGCACACACACACAGAUAAGGAUAAUUUAUACUGUGUUGAGAUACUGAAAACUGCUUCCUACCUUUUUAAAAAAAUUUCUUGUGAGAAAUAAUAGUACGGGGUCAAUUUUUGAUGACAAUUGAGCCAAGUGUUCCCACUUUUUUUCUUUGUGAAAUAUCGGUGAGAUGCUAGCCAUAGGCCCUUCUACUUAUCAGUCUUUGUCCUUCUCCUUGUCUAUCUGUAAAGCUUUAUAAAGUGUACCUUAUUCAGGUGUCUUGUACAUUUCUCAUUGUGACAGUGU
rnacentral:lncRNA from 1 species